rnacentral:rRNA from 1 species
UACGGGGGGAGCAAGCGUUGUUCGGAUUUACUGGGCGUAAAGGGCGCGUAGAGCGGCGCAACAAGUCACUUGUGAAAUCUCCGGGCUUAACCCGGAGCGGUCAAGUGAUACUGUCGUGCUAGAGUGCGGAAGGGGCUACUGGAAUUCUCGGUGUAGCGGUGAAAUGCGUAGAUAUCGAGAGGAACACCUGCGGCGAAGGCGACUACCUGGCCUGUUCUUGACGCUGGAGGCGCGAAAGCUAGGGGGAGCAAACGGG